AGCGUUGUCCGGAAUCACUGGGCGUAAAGCGCACGUAGGCGGAUUUGUAAGUCAGGGGUGAAAUCCCGGGGCUCAACCUCGGAACUGCCUUUGAUACUGCAAAUCUUGAGUCCGGAAGAGGUGAGUGGAAUUCCUAGUGUAGAGGUGAAAUUCGUAGAUAUUAGGAAGAACACCAGUGGCGAAGGCGGCUCACUGGUCCGGUACUGACGCUGAGGUGCGAAAGCGUGGGGAGCAAACAGG
rnacentral:rRNA from 1 species